ACUUCCCCUGCGGCUGGACUCCGCUCAGCCCAUUCCCCUGCAUCCUGCGGGGAAUGCAGCGUGGAUGGCGCUGGGUAUCUCUCCUCCUCCCCGCUCACACCACCUUUCCCACGCCUGUCUCCCCUCUCGGUAAAGCCCUUCCCAUGACCCAGGACUCUAGGUCUUCUGGAAGCUCGAUUCCUCCGCUGGGCUCCCCACUCUGUCCCUCACGUCCCUGUGUGAAACACCGAGGACACCUCUGCAUCCCGGGCGCCCUCCCGAGUCUCCGCUCCUCUCCCGCUUGCCUCCUCCUUCCAAUAACCUCCCGUCCCUUUCUCCCCACAUUUAUCACACGCACCUCUGUUUCUCUUUCUACGACUCUCCCCCACCCCCGCAUCCCGCGUGUUCCUGGCAGCCUCUGGAAGUGGGUCCGCUCUCACUUUCCUGGCACCCUCUGGGGUUGCCUUCAUCUAGCUUUUCUGUCCUUCUUGAAUCUUUCCACCUCAGGACCCCCAAGCUCUGGGUCAACUUUCUCCAGCGCCUCUCCUUUCCCAAAUGCUGGGGUCUUCGCUUCUCCCACACCAGGCUCCCUUCUCUGCACCUGGCACCCCACGACCCCCCCCCCCAUUCAACGCGUCCUGGAAGAGGGAGCCUUCUACCCUCCCCCUAUUGCUUGUCUCCCUCUAGGGGACUGCCCCCACGACCC
rnacentral:lncRNA from 1 species